AUUCCUAAUUGGUAUAAAAAUUUAGAAAAGAUAAAUAAAUCAAAAUAGGAAAGUAUUCGAUAUUUUAUAAAGAUCUCUAAUUACAGUAUCUUUUCCCCCCUUUUCCCUCUAUUUCCGGUAAUCAAACAGAAACAAUUCGACGAAGUGUGGCCGCAAUUCUUGCACUCCACCUGAAACAACCGUUAUAGUUUAGUUAAGAAGUAACAAGCAUGGAUUAUAGAACAAGUAAACCUGCAUUUGAAUUCUCUAAUGAGCCUAGGAGUUUGCAAGAAAUUGAUGCUGCAAGGAUGAGCCCUGUUAGUGCUCAGAUCAAACAAGUCAUUGAUCUACUGUCUGAGUCAAGGAAAUCCUUUACUGCAGAGCAAAUACGUGAAAAAUGUUGUGUUGAUGUCUUUUACAAUGAUGCCAUAUUCCAAAGAUUGGUGAAUAGCCCAAAAGUUAACUUUGAUGGGAAGCUCUUCUCUUACAAGCAUAAUGUGAGAGACCAGAAAGCACUUCUCAAAUUAAUACAGUCAUUUCCAGAGGGUAUUGCUGUUGCUAAAAUCCGAAAUGUCUACCCAACCAUCAUACAAGAUCUACAGAUUUUGAAAGCCAGGGGUCAAAUUAUGAUACUAUCUGAUAUUGAAUCUCAAGAAGUCACUGCAUACCCAAACAAUCCAAAAGCACCCAUCAAGGUUGAUGAUGAACUGAAAUCACUAUAUCGGGAAGCUGACUUGCCACGUGAAAUACAGGAUAUUGAGUUUGAUCUGCAAAAUAGCAGGAUGAAUCUGUUAACAAACUCAACUAAAAGUGAAUGGUGGAGCAAGCUGCUCAAGAAAGUAAACCGCUAACUGCAGAAUUGUAGGCAGAAUAAGCGUGUGAAAAGGAACUUGAAGGUUUGAAGGACUGAGGCUAUUUUUGUGUUAUGUUCAGAGUUAGUGGGCUACCAGACCCGAGAAAUAGGAGAUCUCUGGUAAAGACUGAAAGUUCUAUAGCUUGACGAUUCGUGUUCCUUGAUAUAGGAAGUCCUUUAUCAAAUCAAUAGAGUUUAUACAUUAGUGUCA